GCCGCUGUAGCUCAGAUGGUAGAGCACAUCAUUCGUAAUGAUGGGGUCGGGGGUUCGAGUCCCUUCAGCGGCACCA
rnacentral:tRNA from 2 species